rnacentral:rRNA from 1 species
UGGGGAAUAUUGGACAAUGGACGAAAGCCUGAUCCAGCCAUGCCGCGUGUGUGAAGAAGGCCUUUUGGUUGUAAAGCACUUUAAGUGGGGAGGAAAAGCUUAUGGUUAAUACCCAUAAGCCCUGACGUUACCCACAGAAUAAGCACCGGCUAACUCUGUGCCAGCAGCCGCGGUAAUACAGAGGGUGCAAGCGUUAAUCGGAAUUACUGGGCGUAAAGCGCGCGUAGGUGGUUAUUUAAGUCAGAUGUGAAAGCCCCGGGCUUAACCUGGGAACUGCAUCUGAUACUGGAUAACUAGAGUAGGUGAGAGGGGAGUAGAAUUCCAGGUGUAGCGGUGAAAUGCGUAGAGAUCUGGAGGAAUACCGAUGGCGAAGGCAGCUCCCUGGCAUCAUACUGACACUGAGGUGCGAAAGCGUGGGUAGCAAACAGGAUUAGAUACCCUGGUAGUCCACGCCGUAAACGAUGUCGACUUGGAGGUUGUGCCCUUGAGGCGUGGCUUCCGGAGCUAACGCGUUAAGUCGACCGCCUGGGGAGUACGGCCGCAAGGUUA